UCUCUGCCACCUCUCCACAGCUACAGCUCCCUGUUCUGGGAUGACCAGCCUAGAAGGAUCGCGGCUCCUACUCACUCCCCUCACCUGACUGGGAGACGGAGCACCCCUGCCCUUCCCCCAUCCCUUGUAGAAGAAUUCAAGAACAAGCCAGCAUCCCUAAAGUGAUAUAAAGAACAAAAAUGAAGGAGGAAGAAACAGUGCUGCCUGGAGUAGCCACCAGAGACCUGGGCAACCUUUGGGAUGCAGGGGAGGCGGCAGGAGGGAAAGGAUGCUGAAUAAAGCAGGUCCCUGCAGUGGGGAGUCCGAGGCGACUCAACUGCCUCUCCAUCCUGAUCUUUUUGCAAGAAGGCAGCUCGGAGAGCUAAUGUGGUUCUGGGUGAGGGAGCGGUGCGUCCUGGAGAGGCUGUGAGCUCUUCAAAGUGAGGCCAGAGAAGAAUGAUCCCCGCCCAGCGCUCCGCUGGCAGGUGAAGCUUUCGCCGAUACUAACGCCAGCUGUCGCCCUUCCCUGCCAGGACGAUUGCGACGGCGUUCUACAGUUUAUAAAGUGCUUGUUUUAAUUAUAAAA